rnacentral:rRNA from 1 species
AGCGACCCUAGUAAAGUGGCGAACGGGAGCGUAACACGUGAGGAACCUGCCCUGGAGCGGGGAAUAACCAAGAGAAAUUUUUGGCUAAUUCCGCAUGACGCAACAGUUCCGCAUGGGACAGUUGUUAAAGGUGGCCUCUGCUUGCAAGCCAUCGCUUGGGAGGGUCUCGCGCCUAUCAGCUUGUUGGUGAGGUAAUGGCUCACCAAGGCUACGACGGGGUAGCCGGCCUGAGAGGGGUGAUCGGCCUCAUUGGGACUGAGACACGGCCCAGACUCCUACGGGAGGCAGCAGUGAGGAAUCUUGCGCAAUGGGCGAAAGCCUGACGCAGCGACGCCGCGUGAGGGAUGAAGGCCUUCGGGUUGUAAACCUCUGUCAGGAGGGAAGAACUCGGUGGCGGUUAAUAACUGUCACCGUUGACGGUACCUCCAGAGGAAGCACCGGCUAACUCCGUG